rnacentral:rRNA from 1 species
UUAUUAAGUUUUUAUUGAUAAAAUUUUUUUAAAAGUAAUUAUUUGUUUUAGUAAGAAUUUAGGAAAAAUAAAAGUAGUUAUAGAUGAUUUGUACGGUGAGGGGAUAAUUUUGUUAUUAUUAAAGAAUACUUUAUUUGUGGUACCUUUUGUAUCAGGGUUUAUUAAAUAAGGGUUUAGGAUUAGGAUUUCUCGAAUUUGAGAGGGCUAAGGAGGUAUAAAUUUUGUUGUGGAAUAACUAUUUAGAAUACCUCUUUUGUAAUGAAACAUUAGUCGUUUUUUAAUAUAUCUAGUUUCUUAAGAAAUUAAUUUAAUUGAGCCAUUUUAGAGUUGAUUUUUUUUUUAAAUUUGGUCUGGAAGUGAGUAAUAUUUAAAGGGAUAAGCUUUUAAAUAAAUUAUUAAAAUAUUUUGUGAUUUAGAAUUGAAUAGGAAUAGAAGUUUUCAUUUUUUUUUGCAGUGAGUUGUAUCAGGAUUUUAAUUUAAGUGAUUUGGAGAUGUUUAAUUUUUUUAUUAAGAAUAGGAAUUUAAUUGUGAAUUUGGUGAUAUAAUGAUUGAAUUAGUAUAUUUUUGUGUAAAUAUAAUUUUUACUUGAAAAGUUGAGUUAAGGAAUUCGGCAAAUCUAUUCUUUGCCUGUUUAUUAAAAACAUGGCCUUUUGAUUAUAAUUUAAGGUCUGGCCUGCCCAAUGAUGAAUUUAAUGGCCGCGGUACUCUGACCGUGCAAAGGUAGCAUAAUCAUUAGUUUUUUAAUUGAAAGCUGGAAUGAAAGGUCGGACAAGGGAAUAGCUGUCUUUAUUUAAUUAGUAGAAUUUUAUUUUUUAGUCAGAAAGCUAAAAUGAAUUUGAGGGACGAGAAGACCCUAUAGAAUUUUAUAAGUUUUUUUUGUGUUUAUUUUUGGUUUAUUUGAAUUUAUUUAAAAGGUACUUAUUUUGUUGGGGUGAUGGAAAAAUUUAAUGAACUUUUUUUUUUGAAUUUCACUGAUUUGUGAUUGAUUGAUCCACGAAUUGUGAUUAUAAGAUUAAAUUACCUUAGGGAUAACAGCGUAAUUAGUUUGGAGAGUUCAUAUCGAUAAACUAGUUUGCGACCUCGAUGUUGGAUUAAAAUGAACUUAUGGUGUAGGGGCUAUGAGGUUAAGUCUGUUCGACUUUUAAAAUUUUACAUGAUCUGAGUUUAAACCGGCGUGAGCCAGGUUGGUUUCUAUCUUCAGAAAAUUAUAAUACUUUAGUACGAAAGGACCAGGUAUUAACUUUAGAGGUUUAAUUGAGCUUACUAUU